UUGAAGAGUGGAAAAGAUAAUAAAAUUCUGUGUAACUAAAAAAAAAAAAGGUUAUAAAGAUAUUCUAGGAGAGAAGGGAAAGGAUGCUUUAUGGUUAUCAGAUGGAUACUAACCACAGAAACACAGAGACCUUCAUCCUGGGACAUCAGAAAUAGAAAGACUCAUAGUACUCUAAAACUGGAAAGCUGGAUUGGCUACCAAAUGCGUAUUCCAAACAUCAGCAUGUCUCCUGAGAAGUCCUGCUUGCUUCUAUCUAGUUUGGGAAAUAACCAUAGUAAUCCAAGUGUUAGAGCUUUGCGUGAAUGUUUGCUGAAUGUUCAGCCAUUUAAUGAAAGAUAACUUAAGAAAUCAUGCUAGAGCUUUCUAAAAGAUACCAGAUAGUUUUGUGUAUUCAUACAUGAAAUUGAGUAAUUCUUUAGAAAGCAGUUGCUUUCCGAACUAUGUGGCUUCCAUCUUACAAAGACAUAAAGAAACAUCUUCUUUAUAUAUUUGGAAUUGUCUCAAAUAGAGUUCUUAAAAGAAUACUUGUCUUUCUUAAGAUUAUCCAUCAGGGAAUCUAAUUUGUAAGUAGAGUUUUUCAUGCCUGGUAUAUUCAGAAAGCUGGUCUUGCAUAUUAAGUCUUACACCCUUUGCAAAACAGAUAAUGAUGAAAAGUCUCUAAACAUUUUACCUUUUGGGGGAAUGAUAUGGAAGAAUUAGACUCCAUAUUUCAAUCUGUUUGACCCUCAUUUGCUAACUUCACUUGACAUUAUAGUGCGUUAAGCACUAUGUGUCGCAAGAUCUCUGAAGGAGAAAUAUUAUGUGCUGAAAUGUUUCCAAAGAUGGAACUGCUUGGAAUAAAAAAAUUGUUAAUUGAAUGGUAUUAAAAUUU
rnacentral:lncRNA from 1 species